rnacentral:tRNA from 1 species
CACUAAGAAGCUAAAGUAUCAGCGUUAGCCUUUUAAGCUAGAAAUAGGUGACUCGUAAUCACCCUUAAUGA